AUGCAAGUCGAACGAACUCUGGUAUUGAUUGGUGCUUGCAUCAUGAUUUACAUUUGAGUGAGUGGCGAACUGGUGAGUAACACGUGGGAAACCUGCCCAGAAGCGGGGGAUAACACCUGGAAACAGAUGCUAAUACCGCAUAACAACUUGGACCGCAUGGUCCGAGCUUGAAAGAUGGCUUCGGCUAUCACUUCUGGAUGGUCCCGCGGCGUAUUAGCUAGAUGGUGAGGUAACGGCUCACCAUGGCAAUGAUACGUAGCCGACCUGAGAGGGUAAUCGGCCACAUUGGGACUGAGACACGGCCCAAACUCCUACGGGAGGCAGCAGUAGGGAAUCUUCCACAAUGGACGAAAGUCUGAUGGAGCAACGCCGCGUGAGUGAAGAAGGGUUUCGGCUCGUAAAACUCUGUUGUUAAAGAAGAACAUAUCUGAGAGUAACUGUUCAGGUAUUGACGGUAUUUAACCAGAAAGCCACGGCUAACUACGUGCCAGCAGCCGCGGUAAUACGUAGGUGGCAAGCGUUGUCCGGAUUUAUUGGGCGUAAAGCGAGCGCAGGCGGUUUUUUAAGUCUGAUGUGAAAGCCUUCGGCUCAACCGAAGAAGUGCAUCGGAAACUGGGAAACUUGAGUGCAGAAGAGGACAGUGGAACUCCAUGUGUAGCGGUGAAAUGCGUAGAUAUAUGGAAGAACACCAGUGGCGAAGGCGGCUGUCUGGUCUGUAACUGACGCUGAGGCUCGAAAGUAUGGGUAGCAAACAGGAUUAGAUACCCUGGUAGUCCAUACCGUAAACGAUGAAUGCUAAGUGUUGGAGGGUUUCCGCCCUUCAGUGCUGCAGCUAACGCAUUAAGCAUUCCGCCUGGGGAGUACGGCCGCAAGGCUGAAACUCAAAGGAAUUGACGGGGGCCCGCACAAGCGGUGGAGCAUGUGGUUUAAUUCGAAGCUACGCGAAGAACCUUACCAGGUCUUGACUUACUAUGCAAAUCUAAGAGAUUAGACGUUCC
rnacentral:rRNA from 1 species